rnacentral:rRNA from 1 species
UACGUAGGGGGGCGAGCGUUGUCCGAAGUUACUGGGCGUAAAGCGUGCGUAGACGGUAGCGUAAGUCGGGUGUGAAAGCCCCGGGCUCAACCUGGGAAUUGCAUUCGAGACUGCUCUGCUAGGGUGCGGAAGAGGGAAGCGGAAUUUCCGGUGUAGCGGUGAAAUGCGUAGAUAUCGGAAGGAACACCAGUGGCGAAAGCGGCUUCCUGGUCCAGCACCGACGUUCAGGCACGAAAGCGUGGGGAGCAAACAGGG